rnacentral:rRNA from 1 species
UACGUAGGGUGCAAGCGUUAAUCGGAAUUACUGGGCGUAAAGCGUGCGCAGGCGGUGAUGUAAGACAGGUGUGAAAUCCCCGGGCUUAACCUGGGAACUGCAUUUGUGACUGGCAAGCUAGAGUAUGGCAGAGGGGGGUAGAAUUCCACGUGUAGCAGUGAAAUGCGUAGAGAUGUGGAGGAAUACCGAUGGCGAAGGCAGCCCCCUGGGCCAAUACUGACGCUCAUGCACGAAAGCGUGGGGAGCAAACAGG